AGAAUGGAAAGGGGGAAAUAAAAGAAAGGGGUUUGGUUGGGCUUUGAAGGAAAACAAAGAAGGGAAUCUGGGAUGGAAUGAAGGGAUUUUGAAGGAAAGUCCCAAAGAAAAGAACCCCAAAAGAGAAAUAGAGAGAGAGAUGGGGACACACCAAAGGACGCUCCGUCUGGGAUUCCUCCUCUCUUCCUCUUUGGAAAAUUCCAGAUACUUUCUUUCUCUCAAAUCUUCUAUUACUGAGGAGAUGAGGUGAGGCGUAUGGGGCCGUGAUUCAGUAUCUUCUGGAAGCCGUUUAAGCUACGCUACUUCUUUUCUACAAACGAAUUAUUAUGGGUUUGUUUGUUGUCAA